rnacentral:tRNA from 1 species
ACUGGAUUGGCAGAAAAGUGCGAUAAGUUUAGAACUUAGUUAUGUAAAUUACUUACAUUCAGUA